rnacentral:rRNA from 1 species
AAAUAGAUACCCUGGUAGUCCACGCCGUAAACGAUGAGUGCUAGGUGUUAGGGGGGUCCAACCCUUAGUGCCGAAGUUAACACAUUAAGCACUCCGCCUGGGGAGUACGGUCGCAAGACUGAAACUCAAAGGAAUUGACGGGGGCCCGCACAAGCGGUGGAGCAUGUGGUUUAAUUCGAAGCAACGCGAAGAACCUUACCAGGGCUUGACAUCCCUCUGACCGUUCUAGAGAUAGAGCUUCCCUUCGGGGCAGAGGUGACAGGUGGUGCAUGGUUGUCGUCAGCUCGUGUCGUGAGAUGUUGGGUUAAGUCCCGCAACGAGCGCAACCCUUGUCCUUAGUUGCCAGCAUUCAGUUGGGCACUCUAGGGAGACUGCCGGUGACAAACCGGAGAAGGUGGGGAUGACGUCAAAUCAUCAUGCCCCUUAUGUCCUGGGCUACACACGUGCUACAAUGGCUGGUACAAAGGGUAGCGAAGCAGUGAUGUGGAGCCAAUCCCAAAAAGCCAGUCACAGUUCGGAUUGUAGGCUGC